AUAGACAAUGCAAGCAAGCAAUGAAAGAAAUGCAGAUCAAAAUGAAACAUGCAUGUUUAGGAAAGAAUUAAUAUAAACUACAGAUAUUAGAAGGAGAAGCCAAGGGAACGACAUGAGGAGCUACUAAACCUACUGGCCUUGCUCUUCAAAUUCUGUUUUGGAUAAUAAUACAUGCUCCAGUCCUGAAUGCAGGAGUUUUCUAACACAGAGCUGGUUUAAAGGUGACAUUCAAGGAGUAUCUUGAUUCAACAGUUCAGAUGAGAUGCUAGGAACAGAUUCCUUUUCAGCCUCGUAAUCUUCCUGCUUUAACAAUAAACUUGGAUUUAUUUUAUACUA